rnacentral:rRNA from 1 species
GAAUUGACGGGGGCCCGCACAAGCAGUGGAGUAUGUGGUUUAAUUCGAAGCAACGCGAAGAACCUUACCAGGGCUUGACAUACAGAGGGAUAUGUCAGAGAUGGCAUAGCUCUUCGGAGCCUCUGUACAGGUGGUGCAUGGUUGUCGUCAGCUCGUGUCGUGAGAUGUUGGGUUAAGUCCCGCAACGAGCGCAACCCUUGUUGUUAGUUGGUAACACGUAAAGGUGACCACUCUAACGAGACUGCCGGUGACAAAUCGGAGGAAGGUGGGGACGACGUCAAAUCAUCAUGCCCCUUAUGUCCUGGGCUACACACGUACUACAAUGGCUACAACAAAGGGAAGCGAAGCCGUAAGGCGGAGCAAAUCCCCAAAAGUAGUCCCAGUUCGGAUUGUGGGCUGCAACCCGCCCACAUGAAGUCGGAAUUGCUAGUAAUGGCAGGUCAGCAUACUGCCGUGAAUACGUUCCCGGGCCUUGUACACACCG